rnacentral:rRNA from 1 species
GACGAACGCUGGCGGCGUGCUUAACACAUGCAAGUCGAACGGAAAGGCCCUGCUUUUGUGGGGUGCUCGAGUGGCGAACGGGUGAGUAACACGUGAGUAACCUGCCCUUGACUUUGGGAUAACUUCAGGAAACUGGGGCUAAUACCGGAUAGGAGCUCCUGCUGCAUGGUGGGGGUUGGAAAGUUUCGGCGGUUGGGGAUGGACUCGCGGCUUAUCGGCUUGUUGGUGGGGUAGUGUCUUACCAAGGCUUGGACGGGUAGCCGGGCUGAGCUGGUGACAGGCCCAGUUGGACUGGGACUGAGACACGGCCCAGACGGGGAGGCGGGGCAGGGGUGUGGAACAUUGGGGGAGGAGCCAUAUCCCGAUCCAGCAGUGCGGGGGGAGUGAGGAUGGGGUUAGUAGUCCACUUCGCCUUGAGCCGGGGUGAGAAUGACGUUACCGGGAAAAGAAGCUCCGGCUAACUCCGUG